rnacentral:rRNA from 1 species
CUGGCUCAGGAUGAACGCUAGCGACAGGCUAACACAUGCAAGUCGAGGGGCAGCACGGGAGUAGCAAUACUUGGUGGCGACCGGCGCACGGGUGAGUAACGCGUAUGCAACCUACCUAUCAGAGGGGAAUAACCCGGCGAAAGUCGGACUAAUACCGCAUAAAACAGGGGCACCGCAUGGUGAUAUUUGUUAAAGAAAUUCGCUGAUAGAUGGGCAUGCGUUCCAUUAGGUAGUUGGUGAGGUAACGGCUCACCAAGCCGACGAUGGAUAGGGGAACUGAGAGGUUGGUCCCCCACACUGGUACUGAGACACGGACCAGACUCCUACGGGAGGCAGCAGUGAGGAAUAUUGGUCAAUGGGCGGGAGCCUGAACCAGCCAAGUCGCCGUGAAGGAAGAAGGAUCUAUGGUUCGUAAACUUCUUUUGCAGGGGAAUAAAGUGCAGGACGUGUCCUGUUUUGUAUGUACCCUGAGAAUAAGGAUCGGCUAACUCCGUGCCAGCCGCCGC